rnacentral:rRNA from 1 species
GACGAACGCUGGCGGCGGGCUUAACACAUGCAAGUCGAACGGAAAGGCCCUGCUUGUGUGGGGUGCUCGAGUGGCGAACGGGUGAGUAACACGUGAGUAACCUGCCCUUGACUUUGGGAUAACUUCAGGAAACUGGGGCUAAUACCGGAUAGGAGCUCCUGCUGCAGGGUGGGGGUUGGAAAGUUUCGGCGGUUGGGGAUGGACUCGCGGCUUAUCAGCUUGUUGGUGGGGUAGUGGCUUACCAAGGCUUUGACGGGUAGCCGGCCUGAGAGGGUGACCGGCCACAUUGGGACUGAGAUACGGCCCAGACUCCUACGGGAGGCAGCAGUGGGGAAUAUUGCCCAAUGGGCGGAAGCCUGAUGAAGCAGCGCCGCGUGCGGGAUGACGGCCUUCGGGUUGUAAAACGCUUUCGCCUGUGACGAAGCGUGAGUGACGGUAAUGGGUAAAGAAGCACCGGCUAACUACGUG